rnacentral:piRNA from 1 species
AUAACAAGCAUACAUCCCAG